rnacentral:rRNA from 1 species
GAUGAACGCUGACAGAAUGCUUAACACAUGCAAGUCUUUGGUGAAGCUGUGCUUGCACAGCCUAGCCAAGGCGGACGGGUGAGUAACGCGUAAGGAACUUGCCCUGCAGUCAGGGAUAACAGACGGAAACGACUGAUAAGACCUGGUAAAGUCAGGCGGACUCAUGUCCAGCCUGAUGAAAAGAGAUGCUGCAGGAGAGCCUUGCGUCCUAUUAGCUUGUUGGUGGGGUAACGGCCCACCAAGGCAAUGAUAGGUAGCCGGCCUGAGAGGGUGGACGGCCACAAGGGGACUGAGAUACGGCCCUUACACCUACGGGAGGCAGCAGUGGGGAAUAUUGGACAAUGGGGGCAACCCUGAUCCAGCAAUUCUGUGUGCACGAUGAAGGUUUUCGGAUUGUAAAGUGCUUUCAGCAGGGAAGAAAAAAAUGACGGUACCUGCAGAAGAAGCGACGGCUAAAUACGUG